GUCCCUGGACUUGACAGGCCUUUUCAUCAGUCAAGAUCAGAAAUUCAGAAAAAAUGUCUUUUGUUUUGUUUUUAGUUGCUUCCGCUGUCCAAACUCUGAUGGAUCUUUGGAGACAUCCUCAUUUUUUUGGUAACUUUUCUGAUCGGACGCACAUUGAUGGAGCUGAACAAUCCGACUGUUAAUCAGAGGUUUCUGAUCAGUAGUCACAGGUUUAGCCCCUAUUACAAGCUGCCCUAAAUCUUUGAUAAAGGCCAAUCCAGAAACCCACAUGGGCUUAAUGAUCGUGUACCCUUGAGAAAAGGUGUGAAAAACCUCCCUUGACGUGACGGAGCAGUUGUUCAAUAAACCCAGUCCAAUACUGGAAAUAGGCUUUUGAUUGAGCACAUAAUUCAGCCGGCCAGCCAAACAUUGGUAGCUGAUGAGAAAUGUAAUUUAAAUGCAUUGAUUGAUGAGAAGAGGAGCGGACCACCUGACAGGUCAAUUUAUUUAUGUCAACAAUGAAACACUGAUCAAAUUAAAAGAGAUAAAUAUAAGUAUAACGAACUGAAUUCAAAGACCCUUGGGAAGAUUAAGUGGAAUAGUGACGAGGCAUUUGAAGGUUAAUAAGUUCCUGAGGAAAUUAACCAGGGCUGGCUCUAUGACCAUCAAAUUAUCUACAAAUCAUUACUUAUAUGAAUAUGGAAAAUCUUAUUUUGUCGGCAUGAUAAUGAUGUUACUGAGACACUCACUGUGAUCAAAUCGUUCAGAUUUUUUUAAAGAAAAAUUUGAUACAUUUUGACAUGCAGAUUUACUGACGUCUUUGAUGGCUAGACUAUCAAAGAUGUCAUUAAAUCUGCCAAUGUUUUUUUUUCAAUUGCUUUGAUGUCUACAGAUCCAAAAAUUGGGUCUGUAGACAUCAACAUCCUUUUCCUGUUAAAAUAAUUAUAUUUUAAAUAUAUUAAAGAAUUGUCGUUGUGAACCAUAUAUGCAUAGAGAUAUAUAGAGUAGAUUUACAUACUCUAAUUAAUAUAUAUACAGUAUAUAUAUACUUAUUAAUGUUAGAAGUGAAAGCAUAAAUACACUUGUUUUUAUAUUUGUAAAAGUGCAGCGUCCUUCCUGUGUGUCUGUGUGUGUCCUGCCUGGCUGAGCCUGGUUGACCUACUUGCCUUUCAACCACUGCCUGAAUACCUGCUGUUCAUCAUCCUGAUUGUCACCACUCACUCCUGCAGUAUUUAUCCUUCUUCCACUCACCUCUCACUUCCGUAGCUCCCUGGUGUAAUGUCACAGCUAAUUGUUACCUGUUGUCUUUCCAUCAUAGUGAUUUAUUUAAGUCCUUAUUUUUAUUUAUUUAAGUUUGUUGGCCUGAGAACACACACGGCUAUCUCUGUCUCAAUAUUAUUUAUUUAUAAAAAUAAUAAUAAUUGAACCACCAAAGUUGUGAUACUGUACAUGACGGUUCACUACCUGCUCCUAAAAAUACACUGAUACACCUUAACGAAUUGUAAUGAGAAUUGCUGCUCAGUUACCGUAACUUUUAGUAUCUAUUGUAUUUAAAAAACAUAUAACUCCAUACUGCAUUAAUCAUUUGUGAAGAUUAAUCAGGUUAGAAUUUUGAAGAAAUUUCAGCAACUAAUUUAAUUAGUUCCACCGUCAAUCCACUUACGGCUGCUCUGAUACACCGUUAAUUUAUUAUCUAUAAACCAUUACGUGAAUAACUUUAUGUUUAAAAAGCACCUGGAGUGACAAAUAACUCAAAUAUAUAUACGUAUAUAUUUAAUCCAUAUAAGGCGCUGUAUUUAAUUCAACAAUGUGUCACAUUAGAAUAAAUAAAUACGUGUAGUCAUUUCCCUGAUGGUCAUGUUCUGGAGGUUUUUAAUGGGUCAGUAUUACUUUUCUGUUGAAUCUACAUUUAUUUAGUUAAAAAUAAUCUUUCAAAAACAAAAAUUGCCCAUCAGCAGUUAUUCCCUCGACAAUUCCACGUCUAAAAACUGCCCUCAGGCAGAAGGCACCAUCUCCCUGGGGUUAGAACUAAAGUCACAAAGCCUGUUCUGUAUCAUGCAAUUGAGUAAAACACUGUUUAUUAUUUAAUGUUCUGGCAUUUUUAAACUUUUAUUAUUGCUGUCAUUUUGUAAGGUUUACAGGUGCGUGUUCCAUGUUUUGUUGUCACAUUUUAUGACCUUUUAAAGGUUUUAUGUUGUGUUACAUAAGCCACAUAUUGUGGGAACAAAACUCAAUAUCUCAGCAAACAUUUUGCUACAUUUACAUAGUAUUUUCUUCCAUAGAAAUAAAGCUGUCCGCACAAUAAUUUGCAGUGCAUUUAAAUAUCCGAAAUAAAAGUGCUAAUUAACUCCCACGUUUACAGGAGGAAACAAAGGCUUUGAAAACUCCAACCAUGAAUAUAGGCUAGGACAGGAUGAAUGCUCAGUGUUUCUUUAAAAUAAAAAUAGAAAUAUUUUCUCUAUAAUUAAGCACAAACUAAAAGAAAGAAAUGCAUUAAUUUUUUGUUGUACUGUAAUAUUUUUGAUUCAUACAUCUCCAACUGCAUACUCCAAGAAGGAUUUGUAUUCAUUGGGUUUGGUUCAACCUGGGGUAUAGGUCACGGGGGGGUCACACUCGCUUUACUCUGCAUCACAGUGUGAUGCCUGCUCCUGAGAGACGCCUUUGACUCUUAAAGCUGAUAAACCUUUUACAAUGUUUUCUUUUCUAAUAUCACUGAAAGCAAACACUUUCUGAUGCCACACAAUAAGGCAGGGGGGAUUUAACCACAACCAAAGGUUGCAGACUGAAAAGUCCAAUCACUGAGCCUUCACAGAGGAUACAUCUUACAGACCUUGACAUCCAGCAGAUGUCACUGGCUUCAAAACGUCAUCACAGCGAGGGUUCUCAAAGACCAUUUCCCUCCAACCCUCACUCAGAAAUAUUAUAAUAUAUAUAUUAUAUUAUAUAGCUAAGCUAGCCCCAUCUCCAGCCACCUAAAAAAAAUAAUAUAUACUUUUUAAUUACAUUUACAGUUUAUGUUGACUGAUUUUUACUGAUCAAAUUUAUCGAAUAACUGAUGUAAAGAAUUGUAGCCUGGUUCCUAGUAAACCUCUUGCUGGCUCACUAUAUGUAUUAAGAAUAAAAUACAUAAAUAUUAGAUGCGUCUGGUUACCUGACCUUAAACCAGCGGCAGGUGACUUGUUGAUUUGCUGUUUUACUGAAUUCCAUCUCACUUAUUUCUCAAACACACACACAUGAAAAUCCACUGCUGUGUCAGUUGACAGUACUUGCAACAUGACUCCUCGGUUUCAAGAGGCAACAAAGAGCAAAUCUCUACCCACCUUUCUGCCACUGAUAAACCACAGUUGACUCCCUGUGUUGCCACAGGUCAGUACUCCCUGAGACAGCGCGGAAAACUGGAUUUAGUUACAGUCUCCUCUCUUCUCCUCUCCUCUCCUCUCCUCUUUACUCCUCACCUGUCCUCUCCUCUCAGGACAGCACUCUGUUUUUUCUGACGCAGGAAUAUCUACGACCUGCCCAGAACAGUUUCACCUGCUCUGUCUCUAGAUAAAGGAGCUGGACAAAAUAAUAGCGUAUACAGUGUCUCUGUACAAUAGCUGAUUGCGACAUCAUGAGUGUUUGACGUUGAAUUGAGAUAACUAUCUACAAAACGCCUUCCACAACACUGAAGGAAUUAGACCACAAACAAAUGUCUCCUUGGCUUUAAGACUGUGGAUUUGGCUGAUGGCCAAGAACAACGUGAUUGCUCUCAGGAAUUGUGUCGUUUGUCUGACAAUUAAAAUCCAAUGGUAUUAAUUGCAUCAUUAUGAGCACGACCAGGGGUAACAGGAUUUAUUGUGAUUGCCAGCCUGUGCAUUCAACACAGCACAAUCCACCGGGAAGACAACUGAGCCACAAAAGACGUCACUAGCAGUGGUCUCGUGGGAUUAAAUGACAAUCAACAGCAGGAGAACGUCUCCGAUUAUAAUUACAGACUAAUAGACUUACAGACUAAUUAGCCUUCGUGGGAUCUAAACAAUCAGUAUAUCAAUUAGGUUUGUUGGAAAAGAUAAACUUAUACUGUACAGUAGGUAUCUUGAAUCAGCCGCCAUUGCUUUAAUUGAGUAUUGCAGUGAUUCAUUUGCCGGUCCAAUUCCAACAUCUUCAACUGCAUUAUUGCCAAGAGUCAAUGGGCAGCAAUAAUAGAACCAAGGAGACUAACUGCUAACACUACUAACAUUUAGUUUCCUUAGUUCCUAAACAGUGUAGGUGUAGUGUAGCUAAAAUAGAUUUGACCCAGUGUUUGCACUUCUUGAAAGUAUCCCAUGUGACUUGCUCAGUGUCAGGUCUCUGCCGUACUUCAAUUCAAAUUGAUGUGUCAAGUGUAUUUUGAAUACUCCUUAACAAGGCUGGAGAUGAGAGCUCUUCAAACAACUCUGUCUGCAGCAGCUAAUGUGCAGUUAUGACAUAAGUGCUCUGCUGACAACCAGCCGGUUUCUGUCAAGGGCUAUAAAGCAGAGCGUAACAUAUUUAUGACAUAUUUAAUUACAGAAAAAUUAUUGAAUAAAUACAUUAUUAUUAUUAUUAUUGUUUCUUGAAUUUUGCACUUCAUGUAGAAAUAUAUUCAUGUUCUUAAGUGUGUAACACAGGGGCCAGUUGUCAUUUGAGGAUAAUGAUAUUUCUUGUUCGCCCUGCCUUAAGCUCUUGUUCUGGCAACUCCCAGCCUGCGCGGUGUGCUUCAUCAAUUGCUAAUUGAAAAAGCAGUUGCUUACUGAACAGGCUGAUGUGGACCUCUGUCAUUCUCCACAGUCUUUUGUUUGUCAUUUCUCUUUGGCUCUCACGUUCUAACGUAUUCGUGUGUAGAAGGGCUCAAACUGUUGUUAAUUACUGUACGUGGGCGAUACGCCAAGUUCCUGCUGCUUCAAACAGGGCUAAAUAAACUUUCACCCAACUGUAUUAACAAUAGAUGAAGGCUUCCUUUUUUUUUCUUCUUCCUCUUCUUCAUUGUAGUGAAACAUUGACCUUGACACACAUUACACAUUGUCUUGUAGACUGUAUAUUUUGGUUUGAGUGGCGUACUUCGCAUAUUUUAUCUGAACAAUACGCCUGAGGGGAAUUGUAGAUGAACGCAUGCAAAGCAUGGCGUGACAUCUAGUAGUACAACAGCCGGCAGCGCUUUUGUAUGCAUCAAUAAACAACCUAAAAAAGAAAAAAGUGCAUACAACUGCUACGCCUGCCUGAGUGUUCAUGGAUGUUAAUCUAAAUGGGAAAUGUUGCCGUCCCACAGGAUUUCAGAGCUGUCCAGUCAUGAUAUGAACACAGAUGCGUUGGAGUUUUCCUUCAUGCGUGCUCUAAACACAUUCUUGUUCUAGUGUAACAGUGUAAAACAAGGUUAAAAAUGGUGUCUGUUUGCUACAGAAUUUGUUUGUUUUGCUCUUAAUCCUGUCCAUUAGACCAUUAACCUGUGCCUGAAACAGAACACAUGUUGCCAGAGAAUUACCGCUUAUGGCUUAGGCUAGACCUCAGUGACUCACCCUGUAAGCUGUGAUAGAAUUUCCCCAUGCAGCUGUUGAGACAAAAGCCUAAAAACAAAGACAUAAGAG